AGUAGUUACGAGUUUGAUCAGUGGCUACAGAACGAACGCUGGCGGCAGGCCUAACACAUGCAAGUCGAACGCUCCGCAAGGGGAGUGGCAGACGGGUGAGUAACACGUGGGAAUCUUCCUAUUGGUAUGGAAUAGCUCAGGGAAACUUGGGGUAAUACCGUAUAAGCCCGAGAGGGGAAAGAUUUAUCGCCAAUAGAUGAGCCCGCGUCUGAUUAGCUAGUUGGUGAGGUAAAGGCUCACCAAGCCGACGAUCUGUAGCUGGUCUGAGAGGACGACCAGCCACACUGGGACUGAGACACGGCCCAGACUCCUACGGGAGGCAGCAGUGGGGAAUUUUGGACAAUGGGCGCAAGCCUGAUCCAGCAAUGCCGCGUGCAGGAUGAAGGCCUUCGGGUUGUAAACUGCUUUUGUACGGAACGAAACGGUGAGCUCUAAUACAGUUUGCUAAUGACGGUACCGUAAGAAUAAGCACCGGCUAACUACGUG
rnacentral:rRNA from 1 species